UACGUAGGGGGCUAGCGUUGUCCGGAAUCAUUGGGCGUAAAGCGCGUGUAGGCGGCCCGGUAAGUCCGCUGUGAAAGCCGAGGGCUCAACCCUCGGAUGCCGGUGGAUACUGCGGUGCUUGAGGACUGGAGAGGAGACUGGAAUUCAUGGUGUAGCAGUGAAAUGCGUAGAGAUCAUGAGGAAGACCAGUGGCGAAGGCGGGUCUCUGGACAGUUCCUGACACUGAGGCACGAAGGCCAGGGGAGCAAACGGG
rnacentral:rRNA from 1 species